AGAGUUUGAUCCUGGCUCAGGACGAACGCUGGCGGCGCGCCUAACACAUGCAAGUCGAACGAGCGAGAGAGAGCUUGCUUUCUCGAGCGAGUGGCGAACGGGUGAGUAACGCGUGAGGAACCUGCCUCAAAGAGGGGGACAACAGUUGGAAACGACUGCUAAUACCGCAUAAGCCCACGGCUCGGCAUCGAGCAGAGGGAAAAGGAGCAAUCCGCUUUGAGAUGGCCUCGCGUCCGAUUAGCUAGUUGGUGAGGUAACGGCCCACCAAGGCGACGAUCGGUAGCCGGACUGAGAGGUUGAACGGCCACAUUGGGACUGAGACACGGCCCAGACUCCUACGGGAGGCAGCAGUGGGGAAUAUUGCACAAUGGGGGAAACCCUGAUGCAGCGACGCCGCGUGGAGGAAGAAGGUCUUCGGAUUGUAAACUCCUGUUGUUGAGGAAGAUAAUGACGGUACUCAACAAGGAAGUGACGGCUAACUACGUGCCAGCAGCCGCGGUAAAACGUAGGUCACAAGCGUUGUCCGGAAUUACUGGGUGUAAAGGGAGCGCAGGCGGGAGAACAAGUUGGAAGUGAAAUCCAUGGGCUCAACCCAUGAACUGCUUUCAAAACUGUUUUUCUUGAGUAGUGCAGAGGUAGGCGGAAUUCCCGGUGUAGCGGUGGAAUGCGUAGAUAUCGGGAGGAACACCAGUGGCGAAGGCGGCCUACUGGGCACCAACUGACGCUGAGGCUCGAAAGUGUGGGUAGCAAACAGGAUUAGAUACCCUGGUAGUCCACACCGUAAACGAUGAUUACUAGGUGUUGGAGGAUUGACCCCUUCAGUGCCGCAGUUAACACAAUAAGUAAUCCACCUGGGGAGUACGACCGCAAGGUUGAAACUCAAAGGAAUUGACGGGGGCCCGCACAAGCAGUGGAGUAUGUGGUUUAAUUCGACGCAACGCGAAGAACCUUACCAAGUCUUGACAUCCCUUGACGAUGCCGGAAACAGUAUUUCUCUUCGGAGCAAGGAGACAGGUGGUGCAUGGUUGUCGUCAGCCCGUGUCGUGAGAUGUUGGGUUAAGUCCCGCAACGAGCGCAACCCUUAUCUUUAGUAGCCAGCGGUUCGGCCGGGCACUCUAGAGAGACUGCCAGGGAUAACCUGGAGGAAGGCGGGGAUGACGUCAAAUCAUCAUGCCCCUUAUGACUUGGGCUACACACGUGCUACAAUGGCGUAAACAAAGGGAAGCAAAGCUGUGAAGCCGAGCAAAUCUCAAAAAUAACGUCUCAGUUCGGACUGUAGUCUGCAACCCGACUACACGAAGCUGGAAUCGCUAGUAAUCGCAGAUCAGAAUGCUGCGGUGAAUACGUUCCCGGGUCUUGCACACACCGCCCGUCAA
rnacentral:rRNA from 1 species